rfam:Vibrio vulnificus YJ016 DNA, chromosome II, complete sequence.
CGACCCUUAUUAAGCCGAGGGUCACCUAGCCAACUGACGUUGUUAGUGAAUACACAUUGUUCACAUCAUACAUAAGCCAAUCGCACUCAUUUUGCGGUUGGUUUUUUUUUU